UUGCCAGCAGCCGCGGUAAUACGUAGGGUGCAAGCGUUGUCCGGAAUCAUUGGGCGUAAAGAGCUCGUAGGCGGUCUGUCGCGUCUGCUGUGAAAACCUGGGGCUUAACCCCGGGCCUGCAGUGGGUACGGGCAGACUAGAGUGCGGUAGGGGAGACUGGAAUUCCUGGUGUAGCGGUGAAAUGCGCAGAUAUCAGGAGGAACACCGGUGGCGAAGGCGGGUCUCUGGGCCGUAACUGACGCUGAGGAGCGAAAGCAUGGGUAGCGAACAGGAUUAGAUACCCUGGUAGUCCAUGCCGUAAACGUUGGGCGCUAGGUGUGGGGCUCAUUCCACGAGUUCCGUGCCGCAGCAAACGCAUUAAGCGCCCCGCCUGGGGAGUACGGCCGCAAGGCUAAAACUCAAAGGAAUUGACGGGGCCCCGCACAAGCGGCGGAGCAUGCGGAUUAAUUCGAUGCAACGCGAAGAACCUUACCAAGGCUUGACAUGCAGGGAAAUCUCCCAGAGAUGGGAGGUCCGCAAGGGUCCUGCACAGGUGGUGCAUGGUUGUCGUCAGCUCGUGUCGUGAGAUGUUGGGUUAAGUCCCGCAACGAGCGCAACCCUCGUUCUAUGUUGCCAGCGGGUAAUGCCGGGGACUCAUAGGAGACUGCCGGGGUCAACUCGGAGGAAGGUGGGGAUGACGUCAAAUCAUCAUGCCCCUUAUGUCUUGGGCUUCACGCAUGCUACAAUGGCCAGUACAAAGGGCUGCGAGACCGUAAGGUGGAGCGAAUCCCAAAAAGCUGGUCUCAGUUCGGAUUGGGGUCUG
rnacentral:rRNA from 1 species